GAUAAUUAUUACACAAUAUUUAUUUUCAUAUUUUCCAUUUAUAGUCAUCUAUAGUCAUUUGUCAAAAUUGUUUUCUGAUUCUGCUUGCUUUUUUAUGAAUCAGUUAAUAUAUUUUCCUAUACUGUUCUGAGUUCUUCAUAUUAAUUGUUUCUUACAGCAGAAGGCUGCAAAAUUCACAACUAUUCCCUUAAAAUACUUGAUCCCAGGUCCUCUGAAUCUCUGAUUCUAUGCUAACCCCACAAAAUGCUAAUGCUAUUUUCUAAUGUAAAUAUGCCCUUCCUUUGUCCUCCUUGGGGUUUAGGUAUGUCUAGGUCAAAGGUGAUGAACAUUUUUGUCACUUUUUUAGAAUAAUGACAAACUGUUUUGCAGAGUGUUUGUACCAACUCACAGCCCCUUGAUGUUUCUAAUCUUUCCUCACUUCAGUCUAUCUUUCAUACUGAAUGACUCUAAUCACAUGCCUUCCCAAAUCAAAACCCCUGGGCCUCUAUAUUGCUUGCCAAAAUAAAGUUCAAAUUCUUCAUUCUGACAUCCAAGACCCCCCAUAACCUAGCUCUAACCUACUUUCUGACUCUUACUUUACUCUUUAUUCCAUGCCAACUUUCCUAUUUUCUAUUCUUUGAAUAUCUUUGAGGAGAGGGAAGCAGAGCUGUGAGUUCAUUGAUUUGGGUUUCAAAUCUCACCACUCUUCGUGAGAAAUCUCCCUCUCCAGUUCUUGCAGUUAAUACUUGGGAAGUUGUCUUGGAUGCAUCAAUUCAAUUCAACAAGUAUUCACCAAUUUGCUGAUAGGUGAGAGACAUCAUGCUAGGAUUUAGGCAUUAACUCUCAAAGAACUUGGGUACUAAUGGGGCAAAUGUCACAUACAUAAAAAAGUAUGAUGAUAAGGCAAAAGAAAAAUAUAUGGAGACAGAGAAAGUCAGAGAGACAAGGAAAGAGAGUUAGUGAGGAAGAGAGUGCAUUAGGCAGAGUUGCCAGGAGUAACAGCAGUGUUUGGCACACAGUAAGCAUAGGAAGGAAGGAAGGAAGGAAGGAAGGAAGGAAGGAAGGAAGGAAGGAAGGAAGGAAGGAAGGAAGGAAGGAAGGAAGGAAGGAAGGAAGGAAGGAAGGAAGGAAGGAAGGAAGGAAGGAAGGAAGGAAGGAAGGAAGGAAGGAAGGAAGGAAGGAAGGAAGGAAGGAAGGAAGGAAGGAAGGGAGGAAGGAAGGAAGGAAGGAAGGAAGGAAGGAAGGAGGGAAGGGAAGGAGGGAAGGAGGGAGGAAGGGAAGGAGGGAGUAGAGGGGAUAGAUAGAGAGACAGAGGAGAGAGACAGGGAAAGAUAGAGGCAGACAGAGACAAAACAGAGAGAGUGGGAGAGAGUCAGAGAAAGAAAAAUAGAGAGAGUGGGAGAGAGACAAAGAGAAAGAAAGAUAGAAACAGAAAGAAAAAGAGAAAAAGUGAGACACAUAUGGAUGGAAGAAGGGAGGAAGGGAGGGGCAAAGGAGAGAGAGAGAGAGAGAGAGAGAGAGAGAGAGAGAGAGAGAGAGAGAGAGAGAGAGAGAGAAAGAGAGAAACUGAGAGACUGAUUGACUCAUUCUAUGGACUCCACUUCUAAAAUGAGAUGAUUUUGACAGAAAAAUAAUACAAGAAUUCACUGAACAGUUUUUUUAACCAAACUUGUGAUUUCAUCAGUAUAAGAAAUUCCCUCUUCCAAUGCAAAUCAACACCUGCUCUGCAAUUUAUAGACUUAUAGAUUUGCCUCAGAGGUUACAUGGCUUGCUCAGUCACUCAGCCAGUAUGUGUCAGAAACAGGAUACAGACCCAGAAUUUCCAUAUUCUGAGACUAUCUCUAUUGAUAUAUUCACAUAUCUUGUGCAUGUAUGCAUAUGUAUAUACAUACACAUAUGUUGACAAUUUUUUAAAUGAUUUAACUUUGAAAAAUUACAGGGAUCCACUAAAAUUAAAAAAAAUUUUUUGACUUAAUGUAACAUUUCAUUGGCAUGGCAUACAUUCAUCAAAAACUCUUCAUGAUCCCAUUUGGGAUUUUCUUGGUAAAGAUACUGGCAUAGUUUAUUAUCUCCUUCGCUAGCUCAUUUUAUAAAUGAGGAAACUGAGGUAGAGUUAAGUGACUCACCCAGGAUCAUACAGCUAGUAAAUAUCUGAGACAGGAUUUGACCUCAGGUCUUCCUAACUCCAGUCCUGAUGCUCUAUUCCCCCAGAAGCCCGCUUCAUUGGUGUAGUGAAUCCCUAAUAAAAAUCAUUAUUUGGUCA
rnacentral:lncRNA from 1 species